rnacentral:rRNA from 1 species
UACGUAGGGGGCAAGCGUUGUUCGGAAUUACUGGGCGUAAAGGGCGCGUAGGCGGUCGGGUAAGUCUGACGUGAAAUCCCUUGGCUCAACCAAGGAACUGCGUCUUAAACUGCCCGGCUUGAGUCCGGGAGAGGGUAGUGGAAUUCCCAGUGUAGCGGUGAAAUGCGUAGAUAUUGGGAGGAACACCGGUGGCGAAGGCGGCUACCUGGACCGGUACUGACGCUGAGGCGCGAAAGCUAGGGUAGCAAACAGG